GCAGAUGAUAGUGUCAAACCAAGUGGAACAAAGAAAGAAGAUCUGGAUGACAAAGAGAAAAAAGAUGAAACUCCUGCACCUGUAUAUAGGGCCAAGUCAAUUCUGGAGAGCUGGGUAUGGGAGUAAGCAACCAGGGAUGUUCACGGAACGCCAGGCACCAAAAGGCCAGAAGCAUGCCCCUGCAGGACCAGCACUUGGCUCUGGCCAUCCUGCUGGAGCUGGCUGUGCAGAGAGGCACGCUGAGGUGAGGGCUUGUGCAGAAUGGGAACGCU
rnacentral:lncRNA from 1 species